rnacentral:rRNA from 1 species
GGCGGACGGGUGAGUAACGCGUGAGAAUUUGCUUUUAGGAGGGGAAUAACAAUUAGAAAUGAUUGCUAAUGCCCCAUAUGCUUUAUUAAGUGAAAAGGAUUAUAUCCGCCUAAAAAGAAGCUCGCGUCUGAUUAGCUAGUUGGUAAGGUAAAAGCUUACCAAGGCGACAAUCAAUAGCUGAUUUGAGAGGAUGAUCAGCCACACUGGGACUGAGAUACGGCCCAGACUCC